CAGUAGCCGCGGUAAUACGGAGGGGGCUAGCGUUGUUCGGAAUUACUGGGCGUAAAGCGCACGUAGGCGGCUUGGUAAGUUAGAGGUGAAAGCCUGGAGCUCAACUCCAGAAUUGCCUUUAAGACUGCCGAGCUAGCAGGUGAGAGAGGUAAGUGGAAUUCCGAGUGUAGAGGUGAAAUUCGUAGAUAUUCGGAAGAACACCAGUGGCGAAGGCGGCUUACUGGCUCAUACUGGACGCUGAGGUGCGAAAGCGUGGGGAGCAAACAGGAUUAGAUACCCGAGUAGUCCCUGUCUCUUAUAU
rnacentral:rRNA from 1 species